CAGGAGAAAUAAUUGCUACAAUGGAUAGAGAAUUCUGUGGAAAACCUUUGUGAAACCGGUUCAUGGUCUGCAGCAUAUCCACCAGUGCACACACUCUUGGAGAGAAGGAGGAGGAGGUGGAGAAAGAAAGAAGAAAAGAUGCAAAGAGAAGAGGAGGGAAAAAAGGAGAAGGAAAAGAAAAAAGUAGGAAAUGGAUUGAAGUGGAGCAAGAACACACAUCAUAUAAAGUCAGUGCAUCCCCAGCGGGAGAUGGAAGCUCGCCUCCGCCACUCUGUAUGCACCAGACCUCCACACCCGAGGCUUAUCACAAGCAAUUAUCUUACCCAAAUAAAAAAUGAAAAUGGAAAAGUUAAAU
rnacentral:lncRNA from 12 species